rnacentral:lncRNA from 1 species
CCGAGCUCCUUGAGGGCCCUAAGGGGCUUCCAGUCUUCCAAAGCAGCUGGGCUUCCUACCUCCGGAAGGGCUGCCGGAUUCACAUCCACCGCAAGACGGCAUCACGAAAGAUCCUGGCCUCAUCCAGUAAAGGAAAGUCGGGGACCUGCCACUUCCUCAUCUCCAGCCAUUGCAAGGGCCUCUUCCGCCGACGCCCACGCAAAUUCUCCUCCACUUCAGAAUUGGCCCUCAGCUUGGCCACAGGCAAGACACUGCAGGUGGUGGUCACCAGGGACUAUGAGAACGGGGAUGGAGAGUUUCCUCUGUUCAGUGUGGGGGACCGGCUAGAGGUGCUGAGCCUGGAGAGAGCCGGCGAUCUUUCGGCCAGGGACGUGCUCGUGUGCUGGAGAGACAACGGAGACGAAGACAAGGAGCAGAUCUGUGUGCCGCUCUUCUUGGAUGCUGGCUUUGUGGAGGACGUCCGUGACAGUAGAAGAUACAGCCUGGAUGAGGCAAUAGAAGAUUUCCAACUGCCUUGUGAGGUCAAAGUGAUGGCCAGUGACUGUGUACCUAACCUUCUCAGCAGCUGCUCAGUGCUGACCUUGGAGGCCCAGGUCCAUGCACCGUUUCUGACGGCGAGCCUGGCUGAGGAGCCUCAUCUCGCCUUUGAGAUCCCUCCCCGCUGGAUGGACAUGUCUGUCUUCCUCACCAUGAACCCAAUGAAGCCAGCACCUUGUAGCAGCAUCCCGAGUGUAGAAGAGCUGACGGAGGCCUUUUAUUAUAAUUUGCUAAAGGAGCUGCCCAGCAAUACCCCAGCACCACCAAGACCUCCAAAGCGAGGGGAGUCCAGACUCAACAAGUGUCCCCAGAAAACCCCGGAAGGAAAGAGUUCAGCAGAAGUCUUUAAGCCGCUGCUUUCUGGCAAUUCAAGGCAGGUGUCUCAAAAUCCUGCAGAUCAACUGAGCCCUGGACCCGAGAAAAUAAGCAAAGGCUGGGGUAUCAGGAGGAAUCCAAACCAGUACAGCAUAAAUUAUGAGCUUCAGUGGAGACAGCAGCCCACCAAACAAGUCACAGAUACAUCUUCCAGUAAUGAUCCUGACCAUGACUAUGAAGAAGUUGACAAGAUAGAAAAAAUUGCUUGCAAAAUGCAAAGAGCUGCUAUUAAACACUGAGACUUUUGUCUACCAAGCUACAGGCCUGGUUUUGCCCUUCUUCCUAUCUCCCUACUGUCAGAAAAGGAGUUGCAGAUUCACUUUUUCUUCAUUAUUUUGACAAGAAGCAGUGGCCUUGCUUUCGAGACAAUGGCUGAGAGAAACUGUGGUUUGCCAAAGCUCGCAUAUUUGAACCAUUUCCCCUUUCUCCAGAAUGUGCAACUUCCUUUAGAAUCUAGCUGCUCUGCUGCAGUUCUCAUACUUGGUAGUGAAGCAUCGGUUAAAGCAAGCCUGGUUCCAGCUGGAGGCCUAGCAGAAACAAAACUGCCGGUGAUCCAAGAAAUAAGGAAAAUGUCAUGUCCUUUGUACACUUAAUGUUGGCAACAAAAAGGAUUUUUUAGUAGUUUCCUGCUUCAUCGAAUAAACAAAGUUAAGAUCAAGGCAGCUACUCAGAACGCCACACAGUGACCUCAGCAUGCUGUCAGAACACCUAGGGGUGUAUUCCUAGCCCAAAAGCUGCAUUUAAUGAAAAUAAGCAGGGCCUGUGAGAUUCUGCAGUCCUAAUCAAGGUGCUAGUCCUGUCCUCUAACAAGCUAUGCUGGACUACUUACAUAAAGAUGUUCAGGGUUUCUGUAGAAGCCUGCCCAUUUCAAAACUGCAGGUUUUCACUGCAUUGGUAUUGCAUGUUGACAAGGGCUUACUUUUAGCACACAUCUUCCCUGAUCG